UACGUAGGGUGCGAGCGUUAAUCGGAAUUACUGGGCGUAAAGCGCGUGUAGGCGGCCCUGCAAGUCGGAUGUGAAAUCCCACGGCUCAACCGUGGAAGUGCAUUCGAAACUGCAGGGCUAGAGUCCUGGAGAGGAAGGUGGAAUGCUUGGUGUAGAGGUGAAAUUCGUAGAUAUCAAGCGGAACACCGGUGGCGAAGGCGGCCUUCUGGACAGUG
rnacentral:rRNA from 1 species